ACCUAAGAGUAACAACACACAGGAUACUCAGAAUUACAUUCACUUUCUACAUGCGUGACUGUGAAACCCACACAUCAGAUUGCAGUCUUCGCCAGUAUGACUUCAUGAUGGUGUUUUACCAUCCAUUCUGUACUAAUGCAUAUUAAUCUUCUAUAGCUGUUCCAAAAAUACACCCUGUAAAUAAAACAGAAAACAAUAGCAAUAAGCUGAAGAAUUGUAUAGGGAUGUUUGGAGCAUCAUGAGUAACAUCUCACGUGUAAUCCCUUAAUUUCAUUCUGGUAAACUUUCUACGUCACACAAAGAUAUCCAGACAUGCUCACAAACACAAAGAAAGAGUUACAUAGAAAAGAAUUUACAGUGCGUGUUCAAAUUGUAUUUUCAGGUAAGAUUUGUACACAGAACCAGGGCCCAAGCAAAGGACAGCAAAGAAACAGAUAAGGAAGAAAUCUGUAAUGUGGGAAAAACAAAAAUAUGGUGCUUAGCUCAUAGCAGAAUGCAGUGCACCAUCUGGAGGAGCUCUAAAUGAGUCAGGAGUUCACAAGUAGCUUCCUUUUGUAAAUUUGCUCAGGCACAGCAUCCCACUGGGGCAAGUGCUACCUUUGUAAGCAGUUUCUGUGGAGUAUUUCCACCUCACUCCAGAGGGAAAACUGAUAGGCAUAAUGUUUGAGCCGUCUCAAAGUGAGAGCAAGAGGUUCAGGAUAACAUGAAAGGUGUGGGGAAGAGUACAAAGUCACAUUUAACCCUUGUUCAUUCAGCACGUUUGGUGAAAUACAUGAAUUUUGCUAAGAGAUAAUACGAUAUGCUGAACAAAUACUAUGACAAAUAGACUGUAGUUCCCCUCCAUUUUCUAUCAUUGCAGAUUACAUUUGUCUAACUCCCUCUGUUGCCAAUACUUUUUGGUAAAGAAUAUCUGACCUGUAUGUCAGUAUGUCUAAAAUACAGCGUGAAAACUACACCUGAAUGAACCCUUUCAAUGAAAAACAAGUAGUGACCUGCAUUAAUUAGUUAAUGUCCAAUCACAGAAAACUGACUACAGGUUACAAGCAGACUGGACAGUAGAAAAGUCAGGUGUACUCAUCUAACACAAAUAGAUCACAGUCAGAGAAGGAAGUAUUUCAACUCUAUUCACUCAAUCUACUAAUUCAAGUAAAUAUGAAUAUUUUAAGUCCCAGUCAAUUAAUCUAUUUUUUGCCUAGAAAUUAGUAAUAAUCUUAUUUGUGACUGAUCACAGCAGGAAAUCCAUAGGGGCAAGAGCCCGCCCAGCAACGCAUGGUCUAAUGUGGGUACCUGGGAUGUACUAGGGGUAUUUUUCUUCCUGCAAAAUACUAUUUAUGGUUAUUCCCCUUUUCAAAUUAAAAAGAAAUGUGAAAAAAAUAAAUCAGGUCUCUAAACUUACAUCUGACUUUUUGUUUCUAGGCCUCAAACAGCUUUCAGAUUAUUUAUACUUUCACCCUUUCUCCUCCACAAACAAAUAAUCAUUUCACACAGGGAAACCCACUGAUCACACGUGCACAGCAGCAGCUUCAGAGCAGGGAGAGAAUGAGAAAUAUUUUUCCUCUCAGUUCUCAUGAAGGCCUUAACAUUAUCCUGAUUGAAGGAUAAGUUCUGCUUUAUACCUGACAUCACAUAUAUGGUUUGGUGCUGUCCAUACCAUACAGAAACAAAGGUUCAAGACCAAUUUAAGACACAGAAACAAAGUUAAGUAUGUUCAGUUACCUGCACCGGCUGUGAGAAGAUCGGUCUUUCCAUGACACAGGUUCACGCUGGUAAGUUUACAGCACACACUAACAAAAUAGUUUCCCCAGACGUGAAUUUCAUAGAGCUUUCAAGGGAUUGUGGAGGUGGAAAAAUAUGUUCCAUUUUGGAGUAUAUAUCCUGUCUGUGCCCCAGUGCAUGGAAAAGCAGAUGCUUUUCAUAUAUCUACAGAUAGAUCAAAGCAUUCACCUCCAGCAAAUGGGACCACUGACAUCAGUGUGGUUGUUCCAAGUUACUCCAAAAGACGAAUAUUCAUAGGUAACUGAACAGAGAAAAUUAUGAUCUCAUAUGAAAACAUCAUUAAGAAAAAGCUAAGCGACAGCCAUACAACAAAGCAGAAAGAGGCUGCUCAGAGAGGUGGUAGAGUCACCAUUCCUGGAGCUGUUCAAGGAAACAGCAGAUGUGACACCAAGGGAUGUGGUCUAGAAUGAUCACAGGCAUGGGCUAAUGGUUGGACUAGAUGAUCUCCGUGGCCUUUCCAAACUUAAUGUUUCUAUGAUUAGCUCAGAAGAAAAACUCCUUUCAACUAAGGCAACUCCUCUGGCUUUCAGUUUCACCUUCAGCUUCCGUAAGCUGCAAAUCCAUGUACAACAGCAAGAAUUUUGCAAGCCUUUUCUUCUAAGUACAGAAGAUUCAUGUGUCAGACAUUCCCUGUUUGCACUGUCUGUGAUCUCAAUUGCUUUGAUUCAUGUACUACAGGAUUUGUACAAAAUCCAACUGUUGGAAGAGUAAAAUUCAUAAGUUAAAAAUAUUCUGUGUGUUAAAACAUAUCUCCAAAAAGGUUAUGGCAGCCCAGAAAAAUGGACUGGCAGGAAUUUACCAAGUGUAUGCUUGAUGAAACUUUAGGGCAUGUUAUAAAUAUGUGAUAUGUCAUAAGGUUCACCAAUGUCAACAUAUCUGCUGUUAGGAUAAUAUUCCCCCUGAGCAUUCUGUCCUUGUUAGGUGCAGUUGUAAUAGCCUGAUUCUAGCAAACCCCAGAUUUACCAAAUGCAUUAAGUCUUUAUCCAGAAUACUUGGCAGGGAUCAGAGCAUUAUACAUGUUAACAAUUAUUAUUAUGACUUAUCCAAGUGUGCUAGGCAAAUAACCAGAUUUGAGAUAAAAUCCUGAUUCUUUUAAAGGCUGAAUUUGUUUUCAGUGGUUUUGACAGAGCUGAGAUUUCACUCCUGAUCUCUGUCUUAAAAAAAAAAAUAAAAAAUCAUCAAAAUAUGCAAGAGACAGCACAGUGCUGGGAGGGUGAGAAGAGAUGAUAGCAAACCCAGAGACAGGACAACAUAGUUAUGCAAACUUCUUAUGAAAUAUCACUAUGCUUUUCUAAAGCAAAGAAAAUAAUGACCAAAAAUAGUAAAAGUGAAAUGAAGUGUCAGCAACUGGACUAUCUUGUUUCAUGAAAGGAAAAACCAAGAUUCACCGAGGAUAUUUUUAUGUCUUGGGUUUUGUGAAAAUUGGAUUAAUUAGCAGCUGAAGAAGGAAUUUAAGAAUGAAAUUUAGGAGCUGAACGUCUGAGAAUGAAUUUAGGAGAAGUUAAGAGAGUAAGGUACUAGUUCACUGUAUACAGUGAAUUUUGAAGUUGUAAACUUAACUAAACUUUGCCCAAGGGCCAAUUACCAAGACCUGUUGAAUUCUAAUUCCCAGUCCCAAACUGAAAACAGUAGAUUUCAAAAUACUAGAUAAUCCCUAGAUGUUAUGAAUGCAAUCUACCUGCAAUCUACCUGUUUCUAUCCUCAUGAAGGAUGAAGGAAAUACAGUUCUGUAUGCCACCGAUUUACUUCUUUUCCAGAGCAUAAGAGAAGGAAGAUCACAAAAAGGCUUGGUAACAUUCACCAAAAUCCAACACAGGUCUGAGUUUGCCUAUUGUGGUUAUGCCAAGAUUUAUUAAAGCCCAGCAUGUGUUCACUCAUUUCUAUCCAAAAUGAACUGAAAAGGCACUUUGCAUCUGCCUUCCAAAAAAAAAAGUUUGCUUACUUGGCAAACUUUGUUUAAAAAAUCUGUUUCUUCCAAGGUUUAUCUCUUCAGUUCUCUUUGUCUGAUUGUUUGAGACCUGGGGGGCUUUUUUGGUUUUGUACACGAGUGUGUAGCUUUCUUCCCCUCCUGCACCUCUCUUCCUCCAUCCCAUCUGUUGACCUCACUUCAGCACACAGUUUCCCACUUACUUUGCCAAAAAUGUAUAAAACUUGGUGCGUCUGCUCUGAUCUCUUUGUGACUUGUAACUGUAUCGUUAAACCAACAUUUGCUCUGUUAUAAAGAAAUCUCUGCAACUUUAAUUAGGCUCUUCUGCUCCAUUUGCUCGUGCGCAGUUGCAAGUGCUCAGUAAUGCUUCCAAAUGGAAGUGAUAGGGAAUGGUCCUUGUAAACAAACCGUGUGAGAGGCCAGAAGCAUCAGCACCACGUUUCUCACAUUAACUAGCACUAUACUUUCUGCAUACAAGAUGUUUUCCUAGGCAAAAUAAUAUUUUCCUUGUCUUGCAUUUCCAUUGAAGCCUCCUUCUUGUCCUUCUGCCAUCCCCUGAACUCGUUUUUCUGUUGUUGUUGUUGACAAAAAUAGUCCAAAUUCUCCCACAAGCCCAUAAAAAUAGCCUAUUCCUUGAAUAUUCAGCUGUCCAGCUAAUGGUAUGAGCCUCAUAGCAGCUCACUAGUUCUACCGUUUUCAUUUAGGUUGAGCGUCUCUGAUACUACUCUACUGUUAAUAUGCAGUAGAGUUGGAUAAAUAACCCAAAGAAGCAAAAUCCCAUCAACUAGAUUCUCCUGCAUACAAUCUCUAAAACAGGCAAGUAAUAAUAGUAUUUACAUACAUACAGGUAGACCUUGUGAAUAUAACAUUUUCUAUACCUCCAGGUGAAUU
rnacentral:lncRNA from 1 species